rnacentral:rRNA from 1 species
UACGGGGGGGGUAAGCGUUGUUCGGAAUUACUGGGCGUAAAGGGCUCGUAGGCGGCCAACUAAGUCAGACGUGAAAUCCCUCAGCUUAACUGGGGAACUGCGUCUGAUACUGGAUGGCUUGGAUUCGGGAGAGGAAUGCGGAAUUCCAGGUGUAGCGGUGAAAUGCGUAGAUAUCAGGAGGAACACCUGCGGUGUAGACGGCUUACUGGACCAUAACUGACGCUGAGGCACGAAAGCGUGGGGAGCGAACAGG